GGGCCCGCACAAGCAGUGGAGUAUGUGGUUUAAUUCGAAGCAACGCGAAGAACCUUACCAGGUCUUGACAUCCAACUAACGAAGCAGAGAUGCAUAAGGUGCCCUUCGGGGAAAGUUGAGACAGGUGGUGCAUGGUUGUCGUCAGCUCGUGUCGUGAGAUGUUGGGUUAAGUCCCGCAACGAGCGCAACCCUUGUCAUUAGUUGCUACGCAAGAGCACUCUAAUGAAACUGCCGUUGACAAAACGGAGGAAGGUGGGGACGACGUCAAAUCAUCAUGCCCCUUAUGACCUGGGCUACACACGUACUACAAUGGCCAUUAACAGAGGGAAGCAAGACCGCGAGGUGGAGCAAAACCCCAAAAAUGGUCUCAGUUCAGAUUGCAGGCUGCAACCCGCCUGCAUGAAGAUGGAAUUGCUAGUAAUCGCGGAUCAGCAUGCCGCGGUGAAUACGUUCCCGGGCCUUGUACACACCGCCCGUCACACCAUGGGAGCCGGUAAUACCCGAAGUCAGUAGUCUAACCGCAAGGAGGACGCUGCCGAAGGUAGGAUUGGCGACUGGGGUGAAGUCGUAACAAGGUAGCCGUAUCGGAAGGUGCGGCU
rnacentral:rRNA from 1 species